rnacentral:rRNA from 1 species
UACGGAGGGUGCAAGCGUUAUCCGGAUUUACUGGGCUUAAAGGGCGCGUAGGUGGGCAGGUAAGUCAGUGGUGAAAUCCCUCAGCUUAACUGGGGAACUGCGUCUGAGACUGAUGAGCUUGAGUGCAGGAGAGGAACGCGGAAUUCCAGGUGUAGCGGUGAAAUGCGUAGAUAUCUGGAGGAACACCGGUGGCGAAGGCGGCGUUCUGGACUGCAACUGACACUGAGGAACGAAAGCCAGGGGAGCAAACGGG